AAAUUGAAGAGUUUGAUCAUGGCUCAGAUUGAACGCUGGCGGCAGGCCUAACACAUGCAAGUCGAACGGUAACAGGAAACAGCUUGCUGUUUCGCUGACGAGUGGCGGACGGGUGAGUAAUGUCUGGGAAACUGCCC
rnacentral:rRNA from 1 species